rnacentral:rRNA from 1 species
GUCUUAUUGGUAAAUAAUUUUAAGUCUUGUCUGCCCACUGUUAUGUGAAUAAAUGGCCGCAGUAAUUUGACUGUGCUAAGGUAGCAUAAUCAUUAGUUUUUUAAUUGAAAGCUGGAAUGAAUGAUAAUAUAAGAAAAUAUCUGUCUCUUUUAUAAAAUUAAAAUUUUAUUUUUAAGUAAAAAAGCUUAAAUAAAAUUAAAAGACGAGAAGACCCUAUAGAAUUUAAUAAAAAUUAAUUUUUAAUUUAUUAGAAAUUAAAAUUUAAAAAUUAAUUUUUAUUUAGUUGGGGUGAUUAGAAAAUAAAAAAAUCUUUUUUUUAUAAAACCAUUGAUUUAUGAUUAUAUGAUUCAUUAUUAUGAUUUAAGAGUAAAUUACCUUAGGGAUAACAGCGUAAUUUUUUUUAAAAGUUCAAAUUAAAAAAAAAGAUUGCGACCUCGAUGUUGGAUUAAAAU